UGAGUAACGCUUCGGAAUCUGCCCAAUGGUGGGGAAUAACCAGCCGAAAGGUUGGCUAAUACCGCAUGAGCCCUACGGGGGAAAGCGGGGGAUCGCAAGACCUCGCGCCGAUGGAUGAGCCGAAGCCGGAUUAGCUAGUUGGUAGGGUAACGGCCUACCAAGGCGACGAUCCGUAGCUGGUCUGAGAGGACGACCAGCCACACUGGGACUGAGACACGGCCCAGACUCCUACGGGAGGCAGCAGUGGGGAAUAUUGGACAAUGGGGGAAACCCUGAUCCAGCGACGCCGCGUGUGUGAAGAAGGCCUGCGGGUUGUAAAGCACUUUUAGUGGGGAUGAAAAGCUCAGGGCUAACACCUCUGGGUCUUGACCUAACCCACAGAAAAAGCACCGGCUAACUCUGUGCCAGCAGCCGCGGUAAUACAGAGGGUGCAAGCGUUAAUCGGAAUUACUGGGCGUAAAGCGUGCGUAGACGGUUGGAUAAGUCGGAUGUGAAAGCCCCGGGCUCAACCUGGGAAUUGCAUUCGAGACUGUUCAGCUAGGGUGCGGAAGAGGGAAGCGGAAUUUCCGGUGUAGCGGUGAAAUGCGUAGAUAUCGGAAGGAACACCAGUGGCGAAAGCGGCUUCCUGGUCCAGCACCGACGUUCAGGUACGAAAGCAUGGGGAGCAAACAGGAUUAGAUACCCUGGUAGUCCAUGCCAUAAACGAUGAGGACUAGACGUUGAGAGGGUAAGCCUCGCAGUGUCGUAGCUAACGCGCUAAGUCCUCCGCCUGGGGAGUACGGCCGCAAGGUUGAAAC
rnacentral:rRNA from 1 species